rnacentral:rRNA from 1 species
AGGACGAACGCUGGCGGCGUGCUUAACACAUGCAAGUCGAGCGACGCUCCUCCUUCGGGAGGAUGACGGAGCGGCGAACGGGUGAGUAACACGUGGGCAACCUGCCCCUAGCUCUGGGAUAACCCCGGGAAAUCGGGACUAAUACCGGAUAUGAAGUCGGACGGCAUCUUCUGACUUGGAAAGUUUUUCGGCUAGGGAUGGGCCCGCGGCCUAUCAGCUUGUUGGUGGGGUAACGGCCUACCAAGGCGACGACGGGUAGCCGGCCUGAGAGGGCGACCGGCCACACUGGGACUGAGACACGGCCCAGACUCCUACGGGAGGCAGCAGUGGGAAUAUUGCACAAUGGGCGAAAGCCUGAUGCAGCGACGCCGCGUGAGGGAUGACUGCCUUCGGGUUGUAAACCUCUUUCAGCAGGGACGAAGCGAAAGUGACGGUACCUGCAGAAGAAGCACCGGCCAACUACGCGCCAGCAGCCGAC